CGCGUAGUUAGCCGGUGCUUCUUCUACACCUACCGUCACCCGAAGGCUUCGUCGAUGUCGAAAGAGGUUUACAACCCGAAGGCCGUCAUCCCCCACGCGGCGUUGCUGCGUCAGGCUUUCGCCCAUUGCGCAAGAUUCCCCACUGCUGCCUCCCGUAGGAGUCUGGGCCGUGUCUCAGUCCCAGUGUGGCCGGUCACCCUCUCAGGCCGGCUACCCGUCGUCGCCUUGGUAGGCCAUCACCCCACCAACAAGCUGAUAGGCCGCGGGCUCAACCUGCACCGCCGGAACUUUCCACACGCAGACCAUGCGGCCACGUGUCCUAUCCGGUAUUAGACCCCGUUUCCAAGGCUUAUCCCAGAGUGCAGGGCAGAUUACCCACGUGUUACUCACCCGUUCGCCACUCAUCCACCCCGAAGGGCUUCAGCGUUCGACUUGCAUGUGUUAAGCACGCCGCCAGCGUGUCCUGAGCCACGGAGUCAAACUC
rnacentral:rRNA from 1 species